UCAAACAGUUGUGUGUAUGGAACUGUGUAGUGACAGGCCAGUCAAGAUGGCCAUGAUAACUUCUCUUCUCGGUUGUAAGCAUCAGAGCCAGACAUCAGAAAAUGAAGACGGUUGACUGGUUCGACGAUCUGUCGACUGGUCCGUUUUUUCCCCCAAGAAAGAUCUGGAUGGCCAGGCACAUGUGCAUUGUUUACCUGCAGAAGAGAUGGCUCCAGUAGAAGAUCCACCUCACAACAUACAGAAUUUGAAGGACGUGUUGGUGAUGUCCUGGUACCAGAUACCACAGUACACCUUCAGAUGUCUUGUGGAGUCCAUGAGUGUGUUAGAAAACCUAGGAAGUAUCAAAAACGGUUAAACUGUCCCUGACAAGCCCAAACUUGCAAAAAAAAAAAAAAAACCCACUAGUAUAAGUUUAUACAAAUUAAAAAUCAAUAAUAAUUUAUUUACAUUUGAACAUAACUCAGUUCUGUUCUCCGCACCGUCUGCCAUGUUUUUUAUUUUUCUGUGAGAAAAGUUGAAACGUUGAAAUUUUAAGAUACCUUAGUAGACAACAUAUUAAGGCAUCUAGGAUUUCGAACAGCCUCCUUCUCGGGAGUGUGCAUAGGAUGACAUAAAAUGCUGUAUAUGUAGAGAGCGCACUAGGUUUUCGAACACACUCGUUAUUUGACAUGCGUUGUGCCACCUCAUCCCAUUGGUUUGAAUGGCAUGAUGCUAACUGUGUUAGCUUAGUAACUGAAACCCGAUGUUAUCGCUGUCUAAGUAGUGCGUUCGAAUAACCUGACUUAUGAGUCGAUGACUUAUUAGAAUCCUCUAAUCCUCCCUAGGUUUUCGAACACACCCUAUGUCUCAUAUUAGGCAGGUGGUCCUAAAGUUUUGGCUCAUUCACCUUCUGAUUGGUUAACAUACAGUGUUUAACAAUUGAACCCCACACCACAUGACUUCAGCUCAUUCUGUGUUGCUGAGCUAGAUCACUCAUUUUAUUUGAUAUGUAAUUGUAAAGACCUGUAAUGAGCAGAACUAUAACCAGCCUCUGUAAUAAAUAUUUAACGUUUAUCAUGCUCAAAAAUAGCUUGGUGGUGCGUAAAGACGAGGGAGAGGCGGAGAACAGUCUGUCAGAUUCUCUCACAUGGAAAUGGACAUUCAUAAAUAUUUCAGCACCUCAUCAGAUCUGAGGCAGAUGAGAUGUAGAGUUCCUGCAAACACAGUGGAAAGGGAACGCAAAGUGGAAAUGAAGACUCACUGUGGAUCAAAAAGCUUUAAUAUCUGAUGAUGUCAAAUUGAAACGACUCUCCAUCAUGACCGUAAUUGAGUGCGUUAUUGAGUGACAGGUUCUUGCUUUGAAUCAAGGUGACCUGGGUGCUACUCACAAGGGAAGCAAAAUGUUGGCAGAAAUUUGAGCAAAGAAAAAAAUGAAAUGUCAGGACUGAGGUGGGUUUUUUUUCUUUUAUUUUAAUCAGCGAGAUGACUGCAAAUUCUAUAUUUAACUCAUUUAUCUCUGCUAUAAUCUUCAACAUAGUCUAGCCUUUUACACACUCAUCAGUAAAUAUUUUUAUUUUCAGAUUUACUCUAUUUUUAUAUUUUUACUGUUUCAGCUGAAACUGUUUCAAUUCUUUUUUUUAUUUUAUUUUUUUAUGCAUUUUCUACCUUUUUAUCCUUUUUCUUUUAGCGUGUCCAAUUUUUACCCAAUUGCGAAAUGCUUCCUCUCUACUGGUGCUGACCUCCACCCCUGAUUAAGGAGAGCAAACUGACACACGUCCCCUCCGACACAUGCCAUCAACCAGCCAGCAGAGGUCGUAAUUGCAUCAGUUAUGAGGUCACUAUACGGCUCCCUAACACUGUAUGAACAACAGCCAAAUGUUGUUCAUAUAGCCGCCCAGCCGGAUGGCUGAGCUGAGAUUCGAUAUGAUGUAUUCGAAAUCCCCGCUGCGCCACCUGAACGGCAAUUUUAUUCAUAUUUUAAGCAAUCUGUUUAAUAAUCAUCAAAUAAAAACGUAAUAAAUCCAAAUGAAUUAGUUGCAUGUGUGCUUUAAAAAUGGCUUGAGUGUGUUAUAUAACCUAGCACUGGAUUUAAUAUGGACGUAGUAUGUACUGUAGUAUGACACAUGAUCCCAUUCCAAAACCAUGGGCAUUAAUAUAUAGUGUGUCUGUGGGAAUUUGUGCCCAUUCCUUCAAAAAAGCAUUUGCAAGGUCUGACAUUUAACAACGUUCUAAAUUCCCAUCCCUGAACUGUUACCACACAGUUGGAAGGAUUUCUUUUAUUUUGAAUUAUAUAAAACAAACUCCAGUGUUGUUUAUUGUUUUUGCAUUCGUAAACCAGUGCUCUUGGUUGUGUAGCUAACAGGCAGAUGUCUUUAAUUAAUAAGCUAAGUGCAUAUUUAACAUGAAGCUCAGUUAUUUUUCUGCUGGCCUUUAUGGUCUCAGACAGCAGAGAUUCAGACGUUUUUUCACGCAUCAUCACUGGAGUGAAGAUUGCAAGUUGCUUAUUUUAUUUAAAGUGUUUCAUUUUGCUUUGAUUUUAUUUUAUUAUAGAUGGUGUGACUUUGUUUUUUUUUUUUUUAGCUCUGGCCUGAUUUGAAUUCUGAUAUGAAACUGUGCUCUGUAUAUUCAUAGAUAAUUCAGAUACCAAAGGGUGUCUCUUAUUUAACAGUUCAGAAUACUGGAUCAUCUCUGUUCACUGACUCAGGCACAUGCUCAGUAUAUUUUGAGUUUCCUUUUAUUGUUUGUUGCGUUUCUUCUUUUAAUGUGUAUGAGUUGUACAUAUUCUGAAUUUGGUUUUAAUUCCACUGUAGCAAUUUGGUGCUUUGUCCUUGAAUUUGACUUAUUUUAAACAUUUAGUUCCUUAUGUUAGCUUUUUGUGUGCUGUCUUCUUUAUUUACAUCUCAAUCGAAGUGGUAAAGCUUUUACGGUCAAGUAGCGACACCUUAUGAUUUUCCACUUUUCCUGUAAAAAUCACACUAAAAGAAAAAUCUACAAAAAAGACUGUUAAACUCGACUAAAUUCUAUCUUCUCAAUUUGUAAACUCAUGGAUAUUUUAAAACAAAUAAACCUAUUUUAAACUUA